UACGUAGGGUCCGAGCGUUGUCCGGAAUUAAUGGGCGUAAAGAGCUCGUAGGUGGUUUGUCGCGUUGUUCGUGAAAACUCACAGCUUAACUGUGGGCGUGCGGGCGAUACGGGCAGACUUGAGUACUGCAGGGGAGACUGGAAUUCCUGGUGUAGCGGUGGAAUGCGCAGAUAUCAGGAGGAACACCGGUGGCGAAGGCGGGUCUCUGGGACGUGACUGACGCUGAGACGCGAAAGCGUGGGGAGCAAACAGG
rnacentral:rRNA from 1 species